CGGGUCCUACCUGGAGCGACACCGCGCGGCAGGGCGCCAGGCUCCGCGGCGUGGGCCGCCGCGCCCGCCCCAGAGGUCGUUUCCCCUGCAGUUUCCAACAUGGCAGGCAGGCAGGUUUUAUAGACAUGGACAAGAAGUCUGCACACAGAAGUUCUGAGGAUGCCAGGACCGGCAAAAGUGGAGGUAAACACAAACAAAAGAAAAGAGAAAAGCAAAACCAAGAACACCACCGAUCCCGACAUAGGUCAACAUCUCAUUCUUCAGAUGACUGUGUGUUUCCUUCUUCUGUAUCAUCUUCAGGAAGCCAAACGGAUUCAAGUCUAGAAGGUGCUGCCAAGGGAAGAAUUAAGAGAAAGAGAGGAAAGAAAAGGAGUAAACGGAGAAAAGAAAGAAAGGUAACUGGGGAUAAUUUAAUACAGGAAGAAAAUUUAGCUAUCCGAGUAUUCCGCGCUUUCUUGCUAAUAAAGGAAAACAGCCUACACGGGACUUUGCAGAGCUGGAAGGAACGAGUGGUGAACAUGCCGUUAACAUGGAGCUAA
rnacentral:lncRNA from 1 species